GUGCUUGCUUCAGCAGCACAUACAUAAAAUUUAUAAGGUACAGAAAAGACUAGCAUGGCCCCUGCACAAAGAUGACACACAAAUUCUUGAAGUAUUCCAUAUUCUU